UGGCCAUGUGCUCAUGAUCCAU
rnacentral:piRNA from 1 species